GCUAGUUGGUAAGGUAACGGGCUUACCAAGGCAAUGAUGCAUAGCCCGAGUAGAGAGACUGAUCGGGCCACAUUGGGGACUGAGACACGGGCCCAAAAACUCCUACGGGGAGGCAGCAGUAGGGAAUCUUCCACAAUGGACGCAAGUCUGAUGGAGCAACGCCGCGUGAGUGAAGAAGGGUUUCGGCUCGUAAAGCUCUGUUGGUAGUGAAGAAAGAUAGAGGUAGUAACUGGCCUUUAUUUGACGGUAAUUACUUAGAAGUCACGGCUAACUACGUGCCAGCAGCCGCGGUAAU
rnacentral:rRNA from 1 species